UAAGUGGAUAUUAUCCAAAAAUAAAAAGUACAGAAAGGGUUAAUAUUAACACAUCAUUCACCAAGAUUCCAUUCAUUUGGCAUUGACACUUAUUUAUGUAGCAUCCUUUUGCCUGGGAAAAUGUGCUCUUAUGAGAUGUAGCAUUCACCUUUAAAUGCACGGCUAUAUAUAUAUAUAUAUCCAGAAAACAAUGGUUUUUUCAAUUAUAAAGAUGAGCCUUCAUUAAUUAUACAAGCUUUUCUGCAAGUUCUUGUGAAUAUCUUGGUUUCGUUUAAUAAGAAAUGUUGUAUAUGUUGAAUCAAACUACUUAUAUAACCAGGAAGAAUGCUUCAUGAACUUAAUUAGGUUACUUUUAGGGUUCUUUACCUAUAAGGCAGCAGAUAGCUUUAUAUUCAGUUAAAACAUGAGUGUAUUUUCUGAAGUGUCAAUAAGACUUAAAAUUAUCAGUGAUAUUAUUACAGGCCACCACCAUUUUUUCUUUCUAUUUGGGAGAAGAUCUAAUCACUAGAAAAUGUGCCUCAAGUGUUUCACCUUAGUGGAAAAUUAGCCUGGACAUCUCAUUGCAGGGUGAAUUCUGAAAGUCUACAGAGAUACCUGCUUCUUUCACAUACAAUGAAAAGUAACUUAGAAAAAAUUUGAUACUGUCCUUUCUAUAUGUCUGUUUUGUCUACUUUGUAUAAUUAAAUGAUUAUAAAUU
rnacentral:lncRNA from 1 species